rnacentral:rRNA from 1 species
UACGAAGGGGGCUAGCGUUGUUCGGAAUUACUGGGCGUAAAGGGCGCGCAGGCGGCUCUUCAAGUCAGAUGUGAAAGCCCCGGGCUCAACCUGGGAACGGCGCGCGAGACGGGGGGGCUGGAGUUCGGGAGAGGAGCGUGGAAUUCCCAGUGUAGAGGUGAAAUUCGUAGAUAUUGGGAAGAACACCGGUGGCGAAGGCGGCGCUCUGGACCGAGACUGACGCUGAGGCGCGAAAGCGUGGGGAGCAAACAGG